AUGCCGGCAACGGGGGCUCGUAUAUCAUUGAAGGGGGCCAGCGCACUUGUCUAGUGUGGGAGGCAAGGUAGCACGCUCUAGUCUAGAGCUCGAGGAGGCUCACACCUCGCUUGUUCUACGCCUUGGAGUUUGUUCGCAAUGGGCACCGACUUAGUGCUGGAAGUACACUGGGGAGGUAGGCGCUCCAAGACACAGCAUCACGUCUUGGGGCGUAACAGGUGGCUUCAGCUUGUGCAGUGGAGUCACCUUGGAGGCGAGUGACCCAUGAGCGACGCCGGGUCAUCGUGCUCGAGUUGGACCGCUUGGCUGCGACGACGUCGAGCUAGAUCGACAUGGUGUUCGUCUGGCCUGACAUCAUUGUGACCGAGUGGAGGAGUGGCAAGGCGAAGCAGGUGGCUUCAAGCUCCGCGGUGGAGUCACCUGGGAGGCGGACGGCCCAAGAGCAGCGCCGGGCGUUCGUGCUCAUAGUUUCACUAGUUUCUUCGAGAGUGCGCUCUCAAUGUUGUUUUGAUCCCUUUGGGAUUGGGGUAAUGUACAUAUAUGUUUAGCGAUCUCGCCGGAUUGCAACACCACGGGGUGUCUUUGACCCUAAA
rnacentral:lncRNA from 1 species